rnacentral:piRNA from 2 species
UAGGAAGGAAACACCUGAACUAAAUGGA